GCGCAUAACACAUGCAAGUCGAGCGAGGGCUCAUUUCCCGCAAGGGAGAUGAGUUCCUAGCGGCGAACGGGUGAGUAACACGUGGGCAACCUUUCCUAUCGCGGGGGAUAACAGCGGGAAACCGCUGCUAAUACCGCAUGUCGUCAUCGGUCGCAUGGCCGGUGAAAAAAGCAGCAAUGCACGAUGGGGUGGGCCCGCGGCCUAUCAGCUAGUCGGUGGGGUAACGGCCUACCGAGGCGAUGACGGGUAGCUGGUCUGAGAGGACGACCAGCCACACGGGGACUGAGACACGGCCCCG
rnacentral:rRNA from 1 species